GCGGGAGCAAUCUCGCAAGUACAGUGGCGUACGGGUGAGUAACACGUGGGUAAUCUACCCUUUAGUGGGGAAUAACGCUGGGAAACCGGCGCUAAUACCGCAUAAGCUCGAGAGAGGAAAGCAGCAAUGCGCUGAAGGAGGAGCCCGCGGCCGAUUAGCUGGUUGGUAGGGUAAGAGCCUACCAAGGCAUAGAUCGGUAGCCGGCCUGAGAGGGCACACGGCCACACUGGCACUGAAACACGGGCCAGACUCCUACGGGAGGCAGCAGUGGGGAAUCUUGCACAAUGGGGGAAACCCUGAUGCAGCGACGCCGCGUGAGCGAUGAAGCCCUUCGGGGUGUAAAGCUCUUUCGGCAGGGACGAUAAUGACGGUACCUGCAGAAGCAGCUGCGGCUAACUACGUGCCAGCAGCCGCGGUAAUACGUAGGCAGCGAGCGUUGUUCGGAGUUACUGGGCGUAAAGGGUGUGUAGGCGGUUUUCUAAGUUUGGUGUGAAAUCUCCCGGCUCAACCGGGAGGGUGCGCCGAAAACUGGGAGACUAGAGUGCGGGAUGGGAGAGUAGAAUUCCUGGUGUAGCGGUGAAAUGCGUAGAUAUCAGGAGGAAUACCGGUGGUGUAGACGGCUCUCUGGACCGCCACUGACGCUGAGACACGAAAGCGUGGGUAGCAAACAGGAUUAGAUACCCUGGUAGUCCACGCCCUAAACGAUGCAUAUUUGGUGUAGGUCAUUCAGUUGAUCUGUGCCGGAGCUAACGCGUUAAAUAUGCCGCCUGGGGAGUACAGUCGCAAGG
rnacentral:rRNA from 1 species